UAGUGGAAGACUGACUUCCCAGGCAACUAGGCUCUGUGGCAAUGGAUAAGUAAUCCACUCUUCAAUUUGAUCUGUAAAAUCAGUCUCGUCACACUGUGAUCAGUCGUUGGUGGGUUGAUCUGUGUAAAUCAUCUACGGAGACCCUGCCUUGUGACAGUGUCCCAGAUACUGUCCUGAGUAUGUAUCAUGUAAUGCUUACACCAUUUAAUCCUUACAACCACUCUGCUGUUAAUGUGCCUAUUUUAUAGAAGAGGAAACUGAGGCAUGGGAGAGUUAUGUCAUCAGUCUGAGGUCACAGAGGUGUCUGUGAUGGGGCUCAAACGCAGAGCACCAGAGUUCCCGCUUUCCAUGACGUGACACGGUCACCAUGAGCUGUCAGCAGGGAAACCAGUUUCAUUCUUGAUUGUUAGGAUAAUGACCGUGAAAGAGACCAAGAGGCCUGGCUUUUAGAUGUCCCAACUCUGUGUGCAGAGCCUCUGCAGUGAGUCUGUCCUGUGAUUUUUAGCCUCAUAUGUGUCCUGUGUUAGUCCCUGAAGGGACUGGCACAGAGAUGCCCAUCCAGUGAUAAAACCUGUGAGGGAGCACCUGCUUGGGGUUUCCCAGAGCCACUAGACUUGGCAUAGAAAGGACAAUAUGGUCACAGAACAUGUUCGACACAGCAGGAACAAAGGCCUCGGUUAUGUAGGGACAUCUGGGUUGAUUAGUGUAAUUAGUGAUGAGAAAGGAGGACAUGCUUUGCCUAGCAGCUAUGCUUAUUACACCCCCAACACUGGAAAGACCUAGACUCGGAUACAGCCAUACUAUGUGAUUCUCAGCAAUUAUAGUAAUGAACCCACAAUAGAUCUUUGUAACAGCUGAGGUCAAUCCCAAGGGAAUUAAUUAUGCGGAUUAGGGGAGGAAAAAGCCCCACGGGCUACAUUCUGCAUAAUUUUAUUUAUGUAGCAUUAAAAAAUGACAAUAUAAUCAGGACCGGGCUUCUUGUCUGAUGUCUGGACAUCAGCUGAGUCUAAAGAUAGACCAGUCUUCAGUACCAUGAGGGUUCUAGAGUCUGUGGGGUGCCCGUCCCAUUCGGGCUGGAGGGCAGAGCAGGAGCAAAGACCCCACAGCAUUCCCGUGAGAGGACUCAGCUGCAAGCCAGCACCAGGGAGGCACUCAGACACACUGAGUCCCAGCCAAGGCCACAUGGAGUCAGAGUUGGGUUGGUUUGGCCAGAUCCUAAGGAAGAAUGAACUGAACAGGAAACAUGGGAACCUCUAGUUGGAAGGAGUGCCCUCUGUCAGGGCAGGGUCGGACUUGAGGGGGAUUGCUGGACUCCACAGUGCUCCCCCUAGUAGCCCAGAAUCCCUUGGAGGAAAAAAAAGUAUCAACUUUCUCAGGUUGUAUCUUCAUCAGGUUGGUCUGUGGUCAGCUGUGGGGGAAUGUCUUCAUUGUUACUAAUCCACUGUGGGUGGUAGCAUUCCCUGGGCAAAUGGGAGCCGAUGAGAGAGCCGAAACGUCUUCCUCCACAGUGUCUGACUGAGAUCCUGGGCUGAUUUCCCUUUGUGAUUGACUGUGACCUGGAAGUAUAAGCCGAAAUAAACAGUUUCCUUCCAUCA